CUCAAGCAGUCCUCCAACUUUAGCCUCCCAAGUAGCUGGAACCACAGGUUUUAAAGAUGAAGAAACUUUUGUGUUGCACCUUCCAACAGCCACCAUUGGGGAUUUGCUUCAUUUGUCUCUCUAGCCUCCUCUGUACUGGUGCCCCAUAGCCUGACGUCCUGAAGCAAUUCAUGAAAUACAGAGUUUAAGAAAAAUAGAUUGCCUCAACACCAACAUUGCCUGUAGCUACUCCAUGAGGCAAGAUGGACCCAGACUCCACUGUGUGGACUGACCUCCCAG
rnacentral:lncRNA from 1 species